rnacentral:rRNA from 1 species
ACCCGCACAAGCAGCGGAGCGUGUGGUUUAAUUCGAUGCUACACGAAGAACCUUACCAGGGUUUGACAUGCAAGUGGUAGGAAACUGAAAGGGGACCGACCCUUCGGGGAGCUUGCACAGGUGCUGCAUGGCUGUCGUCAGCUCGUGUCGUGAGAUGUUCGGUUAAGUCCGCUAACGAGCGCAACCCUCACUGUGUGUUAUAUGUGUCACACGGGACUGCCGGUUUUAAGCCGGAGGAAGGUGGGGAUGACGUCAAGUCAGCAUGGCCUUUAUAUCCUGGGCUACACACACGCUACAAUGGUCGGUACAAUAGGUUGCCAAGCCGCGAGGCGGAGCCAAUCCAUAAAAGCCGGCCUCAGUUCAGAUUGUAGGCUGCAACUCGCCUGCAUGAAGAUGGAGUUGCUAGUAACCGCAGGUCAGCAAUACUGCGGUGAAUACGUUCCCGGGUCUU